GACGAACGCUGGCGGCGUGCUUAACACAUGCAAGUCGAACGAGAGCGUAGAGAAAGCUUGCUUUUUCUACAAUCUAGUGGCAAACGGGUGAGUAACGCGUAAACAACCUGCCCUACGGAUGGGGACAACAGCUGGAAACGGCUGCUAAUACCGAAUACGUUCCGAAAGUCGCAUGACUAUCGGAAGAAAGGAUGGCCUCUAUUUAUAAGCUAUCGCCGGAGGAGGGGUUUGCGUCUGAUUAGCUAGUUGGAGGGGUAACGGCCCACCAAGGCGACGAUCAGUAGCCGGUCUGAGAGGAUAAACGGCCACAUUGGAACUGAGACACGGUCCAGACUCCUACGGGAGGCAGCAGUGGGGAAUCUUCCGCAAUGGGCGAAAGCCUGACGGAGCAACGCCGCGUGAGUGAAGACGGCCUUCGGGUUGUAAAGCUCUGUUAUACGGGACGAAUAAUCUUGUGGUUAAUACCCAUGAGAAGUGACGGUACCGUAAGAGAAAGCCACGGCUAACUACGUG
rnacentral:rRNA from 1 species